rnacentral:rRNA from 1 species
UACGGGGGGGGCAAGCGUUGUUCGGAAUUACUGGGCGUAAAGGGCUCGUAGGCGGCCAACUAAGUCAGACGUGAAAUCCCCAGGCUUAACCUGGGAACUGCGUCUGAUACUGGAUGGCUUGAAUUCGGGAGAGGGAUGCAGAAUUCCAGGUGUAGCGGUGAAAUGCGUAGAUAUCUGGAGGAAUACCGGUGGCGAAGGCGGCAUCCUGGACCGAGAUUGACACUGAGGAGCGAAAGCCAGGGGAGCAAACGGG